GCCCCGAUAGCUCAGUUGGUAGAGCAGAGGAUUGAAAAUCCUCAUGUCCCUGGUUCAAUUCCGGGUCGGGGCACCA
rnacentral:tRNA from 1 species